rnacentral:rRNA from 1 species
AGCAGCCGCGGUAAUUCCAGCUCCAAUAGCGUAUAUUAAAGUUGUUGCAGUUAAAAAGCUCGUAGUUGAAUUUCGGGGUUAGUAGGCUGGUCAUGCCUCUGGUAUGUACUGGUCUUACUGACUUCUCCUUUCUGAAGAACUGUAAUGCCAUUGAUUUGGUGUUGCAGGGAAUCAGGACUGUUACUUUGAAAAAAUUGAGUGUUUAAAGCAGGCUAACGCUUGAAUACAUUAGCAUGGAAUAAUGAAAUAGGACGUUCGAUCCUAUUUUGUGGUUUCUAGGAUUGACGUAAUGAUUAAUAGGGAUAGUUGGGGGCAUUAGUAUUCAAUUGUCAGAGGUGAAAUUCUUGGAUUUAUUGAAGACUAACUACUGCGAAAGCAUUUGCCAAGGAUGUUUUCAUUAAUCAAGAACGAAGUUAGGGGAUCGAAGACGAUCAGAUACCGUCGUAGUCUUAACCAUAAACUAUGCCGACUAGGGAUCGGAUGAUGUUAAUUUUUAUGUA